GACGUAGGGCGCGAGCGUUGUCCGGAUUUAUUGGGCGUAAAGAGCUCGUAGGCGGUUCGGUAAGUCGGAUGUGAAAACUCAGGGCUCAACCCGGAGACGCCAUCCGAUACUGCUGUGACUUGAGUCUGGUAGGGGAACACGGAAUACCUGGUGUAGCGGUGAAAUGCGCAGAUAUCAGGUGGAACACCGAUGGCGAAGGCAGCUCGCUGGGACGGUACUGACGCUGAGACGCGAAAGCGUGGGGAGCAAACAGG
rnacentral:rRNA from 1 species